rnacentral:rRNA from 1 species
UACGGGGGGGGCAAGCGUUGUUCGGAAUUACUGGGCGUAAAGGGCUCGUAGGCGGCCAACUAAGUCAGACGUGAAAUCCCUCGGCUUAACCGGGGAACUGCGUCUGAUACUGGAUGGCUUGAGAUUGGGAGAGGGAUGCGGAAUUCCAGGUGUAGCGGUGAAAUGCGUAGAUAUCGGAAGGAACAUCAGUGGCGAAGGCGGCCACCUGGACAACAACUGACACUGAGGCACGAAAGCGUGGGGAGCAAACAGG